GGCGGCAUGCUUAACACAUGCAAGUCGAACGGUACAGGUCUAGCUUGCUAGAUGCUGACGAGUGGCGGACGGGUGAGUAACGCGUGGGAAUCUGCCUUCUAGUGGGGGAUAGCCCGGAGAAAUCCGGAUUAAUACCGCAUACGCCCUACGGGGGAAANCCGGGGAUCUUCGGACCUGGCGCUAGUAGAUGAGCCCGCGUGAGAUUAGCUUGUUGGUGGGGUAAUGGCCUACCAAGGCAACGAUCUCUAGCUGGUCUGAGAGGACGAUCAGCCACACUGGGACUGAGACACGGCCCAGACUCCUACGGGAGGCAGCAGUGGGGAAUAUUGGACAAUGGGCGAAAGCCUGAUCCAGCAAUGCCGCGUGUGUGAAGAAGGCCUGAGGGUUGUAAAGCACUUUCAAUCGUGAAGAAAAGUUGCACGGCUAAUACCCUGUGACCUUGACGUUAACGAUACAAGAAGCACCGGCUAACUCCGUG
rnacentral:rRNA from 1 species